rnacentral:rRNA from 1 species
UGGGGGAUAUUGCACAAUGGGCGAAAGCCUGAUGCAGCGACGCCGCGUGGGGGAUGAAGGCUUUCGGGUUGUAAACCUCUUUCGCUAUCGAACAAGGCCCGCUUAGGGUGGGUUGAGGGUAGGUGGAGAAGAAGCGCCGGCUAACUACGUGCCAGCAGCCGCGGUAAUACGUAGGGCGCGAGCGUUGUCCGGAAUUAUUGGGCGUAAAGGGCUUGUAGGCGGCUUGUUGCGCCUGCUGUGAAAACGCGGGGCUUAACUUCGCGCGUGCAGUGGGUACGGGCAGGCUUGAGUGUGGUAGAGGUAAGUGGAAUUUUUAGUGUAGCGGUGAAAUGCGUAGAUAUUAAAAAGAAUACCGGUGGCGAAGGCGACUUACUGGGCUCAUUCUGACGCUGAGGAACGAAAGCGUGGGUAGCAAACAGG